rnacentral:lncRNA from 1 species
GCUGAUUGCAGACCCCUGGUGACAUUUGUAACUACAGUGUACAAUCUGUCUGAAACUGGAAGUUGCCUGUGGCGUUUUAGGUUUCCCUCUAUUCUGAGUGACUCUUGAACACCAGAUAUGAGCCAGCUAAAAAGAGUGGCUGAAAAUGCUUGGGUCCAAGGACAGCGCUGGAGUGGGACCACACAAUGGGACAGAGAAGUGGGGACCAGGGAAAUCAGCAAGAGAAACUGCCUAUUUCUUGUUCAGAGGAGACAAAAGCUACACAGAUGUGAAGAUUGGUGGGCAAGAAGCUUCUCAGUGGAAAACACGGUAAAAUGGAUAGACCUCAGGUGCAGUAAAUGAAACAAUUUGAAAAAAAAAAAUCAUUCUUGCCUGAUGGAGACAAUCUGUUAUUCCAGCAUAAUAAAGAGAGUUCAAAUGCAGUGUUAUUCA